GUCCCUGUAGCAUAGUGGUAAUGCGCUUGACUACGAGCAUUCCUACCUGUCACGUCAUCAAGAGAUCGAGCGUUCGAUCCGCUCCAGGGAUU